rnacentral:rRNA from 1 species
GUACACUCCUACGGGAGGCAGCAGUGGGGAAUUUUGGACAAUGGGCGAAAGCCUGAUCCAGCAAUGCCGCGUGAGUGAAGAAGGCCUUCGGGUUGUAAAGCUCUUUUGUCAGGGAAGAAACGGUGAAAGCUAAUAUCUUUUGCUAAUGACGGUACCUGAAGAAUAAGCACCGGCUAACUACGUGCCAGCAGCCGCGGUAAUACGUAGGGUGCAAGCGUUAAUCGGAAUUACUGGGCGUAAAGCGUGCGCAGGCGGUUUUGUAAGUCUGAUGUGAAAUCCCCGGGCUCAACCUGGGAAUUGCAUUGGAGACUGCAAGGCUAGAAUCUGGCAGAGGGGGGUAGAAUUCCACGUGUAGCAGUGAAAUGCGUAGAUAUGUGGAGGAACACCGAUGGCGAAGGCAGCCCCCUGGGUCAAGAUUGACGCUCAUGCACGAAAGCGUGGGGAGCAAACAGGAUUAGAAACCCGGGUAGUCCCA